UGAAAUAAAUUGAAUAACGUCAACUGACAAUGAAUUCCAUCAAAAACAUGAUAUAAUAAGAUCGAAGACUUACCAGGAGUGUUAGCUUUUCCGUAUAAAUGAUUUUUU